AUACUUACCUGGGCGGGGUCAAUCGGUGAUCAGGAAGGCCGAUGUCCUAGAGAGAGCCACCUUCAUUGCACUUUAGAAGGUGGCUCUGUCUAGCAUCUCCCACUGUGGAGAGUGCACGUCAUAAUAUGUGACAGAGGGGGCUCGCGUUCGCGCGGCCCCCAC